UUCAAACUCAGCUUCAACAAAACAGUUUUAUAUAAGAUAUCUAACUGGUUCAGGUACUAUAACAAAUGUCUUUCUUGUUAACACUUUGGAUUUUUAUUGUUUGUAAAAGGAGGGAUUAGAAGCUGCAUGUUACCAUAUGCCCGCUUUUUUGUGCACAUGCUCAUUUGUACGUCWGAGUCCAGUUUUGUGUCUGUAAUCUCUGUCUGUGCCUGCAUGUGUUCAUGUGUCGCUGUUAGCAGGAGACGGUGGCUGACUAAAUAUUUGUAUAUAUGUUAGUGGACAGGCUCUGCUCCCUCUGGCUUGUGUAAAUGUUAACGAUGCUCGGAGAAAUCUUACCCUGUAAUUGUCAAAAGGGCUUUUUUUCCUUUCACCUGCUACCGGCCUCUUUCCGUUCGGUCUGCUCUAUAACAAUGGCACAGAGAACGCUGCGGAGUGCAAAGUGAUUGAUGCUAGACUCUUUUUGGCCCGACUUCAGAUGGGGGCCUGACAGGAAGUGGCCAUUCCUCCCUUCCACCCUAACAAGGCUGCAAUAGCGUGAGGAAAGGAAAGUGCUGAUCGGGAAUCUCUUAAACGUCCCAUUUUUAGCUAAGUGCCAACCAAUCUAAAAGACAAGUAUAAACAAAGCUUUCGAGACUAAUGAACCAGCUGAAACACAGGGAAGUUGAUAGACGCCACACAACCGAACCCAACUUUAUCCGCUCCGUCUCAUCCCCGACCAUCAGUCGGUUUGUCGGUUUUUGUCCUGUCAGGGAGGGAAGAGACACAGGCUCAUCUCUGCUGCAUUCUUUCCAUUUUACCGAAGAGCUGUGUGGUACAGAAGGCUCGAGUGGGCAGGCGUGCGGCUUUGGCCACAGGAAGCCGCGAAUUCUUCGAAGAAUGGAAGACGUCUCGUGGGGGAGACGUGCCGCUUSGCCCCCCCUCCCCACCCCCACAGCACGCCCACACGCCACCCCAAAAUGACCCCUGACCCUUUCACGUGUUUAUAUCAGACCAUCGUGGAAGUGCGAAAUAGUGAUGAGUCACUCUGGCCGAGUGUUUACACUUCGGAGUCACGCAAGGAAGGAAAUCAGCCACGGUCUGCUAAAAGUGGCGAGGUGAGAGAGAGAAGCUGUGAUUUUACCUCUCAGAGACAUUUUUUAUUCCUCGUCAGCCCAGAAAACAGCCGAAUUAGCAGCACAGAGGACUGGAGUCRAGAAAAAAGGCAAGCAAAGGUCAAAACGUGUUGGACUAAGGGCGUGGCAAAGUGCAGGCGUAUGAUAUUUUCAGAGAAAAACCAGAAUGACAAAUUAUAUGAAAUUUUAAAGGUGGUAAUUUUUUUUUAAUAUAUGCUUUUGUAUAUGUCCCAGUUCUCUUGUAGACCAGGCUGUGAUAACUAAUGUCACAGAUGUUUCUGACUUUCUUUUUUGUUUAUGUCAGAAAAAAAUGGUUUUAAUUUGCCGACUGGACCUUUUUACUGUAAUUAUUCUUAAUCUUUUCAUUUACAAAAAAAGUCCUUUGUUCCUUUUGAUUAAUUAACACAGAAAAACAAUUGAAAUGUUACAACCAUAACACCAGAGGUGUGCUGACAUUUACUUCAUUUCAGUGCUUAAGUAACUUUUUGAGGGUCUUGUAUUUCUUUUAAUUUGUAACUUUUACCUUUAUUUUGUUACAUACAAAACAUAAAUAUGAAGCUUUUAUUUCAUUACUUUAAACUUUACACACUUGUUACACUCUACAAAUUUAAAUAUGACAGGAAUGSAGUUGUUUCUGCACUCUGAAAAGUGUUAAAUCUACUUUACCAAGUUAAGUCAACUGGUUCCAGCCGAGUUGAGUAAAUGUAAAGCAAUUUACUCAUCUCAGUUUAGUUGAACCGCUUGACUUAAUUUGGUCAAGUUAUUUCUUAGUGUCAAUUUUUUUUUUACUUUCCGAAUGAUUUUUUGCAGUUUGGACUUUUACUUAAGCCCCUUUCUUAUGAGUGAAAUUAAUUUUUGCCAAAUAGGCCUACUUAUUUUUAUGAAAGUGUUUUUUACUUUUACUUAAUUACUUUUUUCAAGUAAUUUAUACGCCACUGCAUAACACCACAAAAAUGAUGUGCACUUGUUUUAUUAAACUUUCCAGUAGCCUUGUUUUAGUAACUGCUGCAUUUUGUUGUUUCUUUUCCAUAAUCUGAUAUUUUAUUUCUCAUUGUGUUCAUUUGUAAUUCUGUAAGACCUCUAACGUCUGCAGCGUCUUUGUAAUGUUACUAGCUUUUAUUCUAAAAGAGAAUUUGGAUUUUGAUUGAUGACAGAGUGUCAGUGUYUCCACACGCCUCUCAAACAGUUUUGACGUGAAACUUUCAGCAUUUUCAUUAUGUAUGCCAAACAUCAGGUCAUCGGUUUAUUUUGACACUAUAGGUGACUGCAUCUCCGAGGGAUAUAAAUUAUUAUAAUUUUACAUUUAGGGAAGUGCUCACAAGUGAUUUUAUGCCUGUGUUAUUGCAGUUGUAAACACUUAACACGUACCGUGUCGUCCUCUAACUUUAUAUUCGCUGUCCUGUGAGCGGUGUUUACUGCGGCUUCCACCUCUUUUUCAAACACAGCAUCAUUGUUGUCCUCAAGGCCGCUGGAUUUCAGAUUGCACAGUGACACAGCUGUAAUUGGUGCAGUUGUCUUCACUGAAUAAAAGUGACUUUUUUUUUUUUUUGCGGGGGUUGUUUUUCCAUCACUGUUCUGGUAGCUUCAUUUCUGACUGUGGUGAGGAUCUUUUUACACACCGUCACACACACCGCCACAAUGAGAGAGUCAGAACAGUUAUUGCUGUCAGAGACUUUGAUUGAUUGUUGUGUUUAUCACCAUGUUAUCAAAAAAUCAGGCUCAUCACAGCUGAGCUUAAAGCUCCUAAUUCCAGGCAACUUUGUGUUAAUUAAAGGUUCAUCUAACAGGUUUAUUUUUGCGGUUUUACAUUUUAAAAAUAUGGCUGUCUUUGUUUUUAAGGAUGUGCUGAUUACAUGUGCAUGUUGUCUGGACUGUAUUGUACUUUCAUCAUAAAGAGCCUGUUAUGGUCCUGCAAAACACUGUUAUAAGAAGAGAGGGUUAAUGAGUCUAUGUUCUCUGGAUCAGCAGAGAUUUAUUCUUGCUUUGUUAAUAGAGCCCGCGGCGAGCUGCGUUUGUGUACUUCUGAGGUAAACACAGUCAUGGCAAAGUGGACACGUCGCUGAGUGUGUCCUGACUGGAGACGGAGAGCGCCGUGGCACCGUACUUUCUGAGGGUUAAUGUGAUAAAUGGCCAUUUGGAAAUGGGUCAUGAAUUAGGGUUAAACAGCUCCUUUAAAAGCCCGAGCCUGAGCCGUCGCUGUGGGCAGUUUGAUUGAGGAAUCAGUCAGGUGGCAGAUGUUUCAUGUUGGAAGUCUGUGCUGCUCUCCCUUUCUAGCAAAUGAGCCAAGAAUUGAUGGAAUGACCGAACAGAGCAAUCCAUAAAAAUGUAACCUCAUGAAAUCAAAACAGUAAAUGAUAAGAAAUACACAAAUCAAAUCAUUUGUAAAAAAAAUUAUUUCUGCUGUUAGGUAUUGAUCUUGAGGUCAAAUGAUGUUGAUAGAUGUGGGCACUUCAUUAGAUUUACUUCUGAGACAAGUACAAGACGGUAAUAACAAUAAAACAAAAUCCAUCUUGGUUUGUGAAAAGUUGUUUUAGAAUUUUGUUCACAAACUAAAAYGCUCAGUGAUAUGUUGACUGUUUUAUAUUAACCUCCUGCUGCCCUUGGGUCAAAAUGACCCAUCAGUAAUGCAUACAAAACUAAAAAACAUUUCACAUCUGCCAUAUUAUUUUACUGUGAAGCAUAUUUUUUAUUGCACUAGAUGCUGGUAUUUUGGAACAGGGCRUUUGCUUUACAAAUAUUUGUUUUUAUAUUUUCAAUAAACUGCUAUUAAAUACAA